ensembl:lncRNA
UGACAGUCCUUCUACCUCAACUUCAUUCAUCCUGGAAUUAUCGGUGUGUGCCACCAUGCCCAACUCUCAAAAGUUUUCUAGUCCCAUAAAUUCUCACUGUGUCCUAGUAAUUUUUCUUUACCUUUUAGGUGUCCGUCAUUUUAAAUACUACUUUUCUGACUAGUCAGAGAUAGAGAUGUAUGUUUGUGCUGUUAUAGCAGUGUACACUUUCUAGCUUUUAACUUUAGCACACAAUUGCAAUUUUGUAGCUAUUUGUGUAAUUCUUUGUAUUUUGUGUAGUAGAGUAUAAGCUCUGAAAGAUCAAGAAGCUAUAUUCUUGCUCACAUCUGUAUCUCCAGUUGUGUCCACCAACACUCUUAUUUAUGAAAUGAAUGUCUAUUAUAAAGCCAUCUCUUAAUUUUGAGGUAUUCCAUUUAUUUUUAUAGAUGUACCUGUGUGGUCUAAGCUGGAAUCUGGUCAUCUUCCUUCCAUGCAACAACUUGUUCAAAUUCUUGACAAUGAAAUGAAGCUCAAUGUGCAUAUGGAUUCAAUCCCACAUCAUCGAUCAUAGCCCCACCUAUCAGCACUGAAAACUUUUACAUUAAGGAAUUUUUGCAAGAGCAGCGACUGACAUUAUGAAGGCCUGUACUGAAGACAGCAAGCUGUUAGUACAGACCAGAUUCUUUUUUGGCAGGCUCGUUUGUACCUCUUGGAAAACCUCAAUGCAAGAUAGUUUUUCAGUGCUGGCACAUUUUGGAAUUCUGCACAUUCAUGGAGUGCAAUAAUACUGUAUACUCUCCUAUCCCCAUUCAUCUAGUUAAUGUUUCUUUUUAAAAUGUAGGUAUUAUUACUACUUAUAACUUUUCCUCAGUCAUAUUUAAAAAAGGAGAAAUUGAAUUACAGUUUGUUUUUUUUCUCAAGAUGUCUGUUAAGUCUGUUUUGCUUUUUUUAAAUUAAUUCUUGUUUUUUUACAGUUUAAAGUCAAUGUUUUGGGGAAUACAGCUCAAGUUCCCAAAUACUUUAUAAAGUUUAUCAGACAUUUCUUAAUUUGGCCAUGUUCAAUUAUAGUUUUCAAAAUAUUGCUGGUUAUGAACAAUGCAUUAUAAGAUUAUGGGGAGAGGGUCCAAUAUCUAGAGUACUCAACCAAUUUGUGUGUAUGUGUGUAUGCGUGUGUGAUACCAGAGAACUACUACAAAACCAACUGCUUUUUAAAUCCUAUUGUGUAGUCAAGUGUCUUGCCUUGACCAGUCUACUGAGUUGAAUUAACUGGGCCUUUACCUUUAUACUUAACUAAAUAAAAAACUAAGCAGAUGUCAGUUAAAUGAGAAAGUUUCAGUUUAUUGUUCAGUGUACCUGUUAACAUCAUAUUUAAUGAUUGCCUAAUUUUUUUUAAAUUUACAGAUAAUAUCCACAAGGAACAAACUUUAGAUUCAUACACAAAUAAUAAGUUCAUUUACCAUUUUUAGGAUAAAUGAAACUCACCUCACUAAAUAUAAGUUCACUUGAACCUCUUUACAAUAUUAAUAUUGCCAGGUGUGGUGGUGUACACCUGUAAUCCCAGCACCAGGGAGGCUGAGGCAGGAAGAUUGCUGUAAGUUCAAAGCCAGCUUGGGCUAGCAUAGUUCAAGGAUAGCAUGAACUAUAUAGUGAGACCCUCUCAAAACAAUACAAAACAGAAAAGCCCCCAAAACAUUGUUAUUAGGUGAACAGAGAUCUCUUGUUCAGUAACCUAAUUUGUCUAGAACAUAUAUCAAAUUGAUUGAUUGAUUGAUUUUUUAGGCAGGGUCUCACUGGUGUAGUCCAGGCUGGCCCUGAACUCAAUAUGUAUCCCAGGCUGAUCUCAAACUUGGGAUUGUCCUGCUUCAGCCUUCUGAGUGCUGGGAUUACAGGCAUCCGCCACCAUGCCCAGCAAGAAUUUUAUUGUAUUUAAAAAACAAAAUUGAAAAAAUUUUAAAUUCAAUUUUAUGCAUUGUUCCAGAGUUCUAAAAGGAGUUUUCUAAAAGCUUAAAUUGAUAAAAACUAUAAGAAUUAUUUAACAGAAAUAGGACCAUAAUGUACAAAAAAAGUUACAUAUCAGCAGCAAUGACAUACUUCAGCUUCCAUAAAAUAAAGUAGUAGAGGCAAAAGUUGCCCUAGAUUUGUUGGUGGAAAUUAAGAGAUUUAAGGAAAAGCUGUGAGGUAGUAAAAUAUUGGUUUCACCUAAUUCUUUAGUAUUAUAUGAUAUCUAACUUUAAACUUGGUCACUGAAUAUUUACUGAAUGUAUAUGAGAUAAUGACCCAGAUUGUGUCAGCCUCAAGGUGGAACAUACUGGGAAUUCUAGAUUAUGGGAAUUUAGUCUAAUGAUUCACUGCAGAAAAUUGAUUAAAUGAUUGUCCUUUUUGUAGAACUGUUAACCUGAGUUCUUCAUACAGUGAUAGUCAGUAGACUUUAAAAGUUCCUUAAAAAUUAUUUAGGUAUAAUACCAUUUUAUCUUGUGUCAAACUCCCUGUCUCCUGCAAGUUGAAUAUCUUCUUUAGUGUGUCUUGGGGUUCUUUUUUCAGCUAAUGGACAGUCCAUUAGUGACACAGUUAACUUUUUAGCUCAUAGACAUUCAAACUGGGGCCUGAAUGUUCCCAUGGACCUGACAGGUCAACCUGAAGAACCUAAGAUUGAAAUCCAGCUUUCCCUAUGUUUGUGUUAGGUUAAAUAAUUGUCUUUUAGAGAAUAGAUUUAAGUGGCUUACCCACUGAAAAAACUCAGCUAUUUUGUUGACACUCGUCACUAUUUUGUCUUACGCUUAGCCAUAUUUAAAUCUAGAAUUUAAUAGGGUCUAGUAAAAAAAUCAGUAGAACACAUGAAUGUAAAAUACAUAUAAGGAAAAGGAGAAAGUAAACUAGAGUGUAACUCUUCCACUAACAUUUCAAAAUUUAUUAGUUGCUUAAUGGUGUGGCUGUGUAGUUUACAAAUGUCUAUGCACCAUAUUAAUUAAAAGAUUGUAGAACAUAUCAGCAAAUUGGCUAAAGUUAUUGAAGUUUUUUACUGCAGUUGUCAUUGUGGAAGAAAUUGUUAUAUUAAUAAAAAAUGAGUAAAACAUGGCUUUAUAUCUCAGUGUGUAAGAUAUGCAGACAGAUAUUCUUUCAUAAUAUAAAUGACAUGGUUUAUGGCACUAAUCUUAAGGAUAGCCUUUACAACUAUUAAAAUAUGGGAUCCUAAUGAUGGUUCAUUCUUUAAAUGUUAAUUAGUUUGGAACCUUAAUUGGCUGGCAGAUAUUCUGUCAUGGUCAUAAUUUAAAAUAAUUCAGAUUUUAAAAAAUAGCUUAGGAUUUUUAAACAUAGGUUAAUCUAAAGCUUGUAUUAAAAUCUUCAGAGAAACAGGUGAGGAACUGUAGAGUUUGUGGACUUACCUCUAUGGCAUAGUGAAAACAAAUUAAUGUGAAAGGAAACCCUGCUUUAUGGAAUUAAAUCUAUACUAGAACACUGAAGUUUUGCAUAGUUGCUUCAUGUUUAUAAAAAUGACUUAACACAGGUUCAGUACAUUGGGAACAUAGGAGAUACACAGAAUGACGUGAGAGGAAAGUUGUUUCUAAGAAAGUAAUUAUUCCAGUUAAUCUUUUGUCACUGCAACAUUCUUCCUGGUUAAUAUUUUAAAACUUUGUAUCAGUAUGCUUUAAAGGGAAAUAUUGAAUCUUCAAGUAUAAUUUAAAGCAACUGCUUUGAAAUGCUAGAUUUUCUCACAGCAAAGUAAGCCACGUCAUGCUUACAUUCUGCUCAUUUUAUAGUGACCAGUGACCUUGAUUUUCACACUAAACAAAAUACAUUCUUACAGUUCUGAGUAGAGAAAAAUGCCUACUUUUAGUUUUAUUAAAAGUAACUGUAAUGGAACUCUGAAUUGCUUGGGAAAUUCAAUCUGAACUAUUUUAUACCCUUCAGAGGAAAAGAUUGGUUCAUAUAACCAAAAACUCUGUUGUAAGGUUGGCCGCACGGAUUAUUAGAACUCUCCUGUAAAUUGGUCCCAUUUUCGUCAUAACCCUCCACCCUGAAUGAGGAAAAAAGGAUGAAGGAGAAGGAACGUAGGUAAAAUCCCAGAAAUGUCCAACGUGUGUCAUAUUUUCUAUCUUUGGUAUUUUUGUUUGUACAUGCUAAGCACACACUGUCACUGAGCUUUAUCCCCAUCCCCAACAUUUUCUAUCUUUGGAUUUUUUCUCUUUUUCACUAGAUACCCAUUUGUUGAUUUUUUUUUCUCAUUAUUGACUCUGUCCACCUACCUGAUUCCUUUUCAGGAUCAUAAUUAAGACAAAUCUAUGGCUUUGUGGUUAGAAGCUGCUCAGAUCAAAUACCUGUUUAACCCAACUGAGAGUUGUUUAGAAUUGAAGCCAGCAUUUAAUUGCUUGACUAAGAAAGAUAAGUAUUAGAACCAGAAGGCAGGUUGAUACCAACACUCCCUUAGGCCACUGGCUAUCCCUAUGUGUUGUAUGUACUAGCAACCUUACUAGAGGAUGAGAACAACUACAGCUCCGUUGUUCAUCUCUCUUGAGUUGCUAAGAUAAAGUCUGUGGAAAAUUGUGUUGAUUAUGUUUUCCCCUAAAUGCUAAGAGAAUGUAUUAGAGAAUGCUGCUGAAUUUUAUCUUGGUGCUGUGAAGCUAUCUUGAGCUUUUGUAGGAUGUUCAGCAGCACCUCUAUUCUCCCUUCUAGAAGCCAGGAGCAAUGCACCUCUCCCAGUAGUGACCAUCAAAACUGUCUCCUGGAGAAUAAAACUUCAACUGAGAACAAUUGCCUUAGCCAGUUGGUUUAUGCAUGCAUGCAUGCAUGCAUUCAUUCAUUCUAAAGCCAUUUUAGUCUUCCUUAAGCAUUCAGGCCUGUUUUCGUCAUGUUGUCAUUACUUUUCUUUACAUGUUUUUUUUUUUUUUGGUACUGUACAUUUAUGUAAUAUUUUGGAUCUCAUAUCCUUUCCAUGUUCUCAUAUGAAUCUUCUGAAUACAAAGUUCUUAUAUCCUUUUCAAUCAUUGCAGUAAUUCUUAAGCAUGGUGUAGCACUGUGGAUUACAUAGAAAGUAUAUCAGUUUAAAGGAAUGGCUCUAUAAUAUAGAUUGCUUUAUUUUAGCAAUUUAUUUAUAGUGCCCACCUAUAAUCUCAGCUACUCAGGAGGCUGAGUCAGGAAGAUCUUAAGUUCAAGCUAGCCUGAGCAACAUGGUUUGAUCCCUUUGAAACAAAAAUUGCCAUAUUUCUUAAGGUGGUUCACACACACACUGAAGGGAAACAGGAUGUAGCAGAGUGGGGAUUGCAUGCAACUUCAGGAGAAACAUUUCCUAGGAUAUCAAUUUUGCUUAAAAGAUUGAGGGAGUUAACACUAAAAACAAAAUUUUUAUGUUAAAACUAAUGAACAAUUUAGAACAAAACUUUCAUGAAUUUUAAAGUAACAAAAUUGUGCUCUAACAAGCAUUCUGGUAUUCUUGUAGCAUCACAUUCUUCAGACAUCUUUGAUCUUGG